rfam:Mycobacterium doricum strain DSM 44339 contig_45, whole genome shotgun sequence.
GGGGCUGAACGGUUUCGACUUCGCGCAUCGAAUCAAGGGAAGCGUGCCGGUGCAGGCAAGAGACCACCGCAAGCGUCGCUGCAACCAAUUAAGCGCCGAUACCAAUCAGCGCGACUACGCUCUCGCUGCCUAAGCGAAGCUAGUCCGUCAGACCGGGAGCGCCCUCGGCCCGGACCCUGGCGUCAUCUAGAGGGACCCACCUUCAGGUCCGGUCGCGGGACCUGGAGGGACAUCAAACAGCGACUGGGAUCGUCAUCCUGACUUGUUCGCGUGAUCAGGAGAUCCGAGUAGAGGCAUAGCGAACUGCGCACGGAGAAGCCUUGAGGGAAUGCCGUAGGACCCGGGUUCGAUUCCCGGCGGCUCCACAA